UACGAAGGGGGCUAGCGUUGCUCGGAAUCACUGGGCGUAAAGCGCACGUAGGCGGAUCUUUAAGUCAGGGGUGAAAUCCUGGAGCUCAACUCCAGAACUGCCUUUGAUACUGAAGAUCUUGAGUUCGGGAGAGGUGAGUGGAACUGCGAGUGUAGAGGUGAAAUUCGUAGAUAUUCGCAAGAACACCAGUGGCGAAGGCGGCUCACUGGCCCGAUACUGACGCUGAGACGCGAAAGCGUGGGGAGCAAACAGG
rnacentral:rRNA from 1 species